UACGGAGGAUCCAAGCGUUAUCCGGAUUUAUUGGGUUUAAAGGGUGCGUAGGCGGAACUUCAAGUCAGCGGUGAAAGUUCCCGGCUUAACCGGGGAAUUGCCGUUGAAACUGUUGUUCUUGAGUGUAGACGAGGUAGGCGGAAUUCGUGGUGUAGCGGUGAAAUGCUUAGAUAUCACGAAGAACUCCGAUUGCGUAGGCAGCUUACUAGGCUACAACUGACGCUGAGGCACGAAGGUGCGGGGAUCAAACAGG
rnacentral:rRNA from 1 species